ensembl:lncRNA
GGAAAAUAUCUCAUUCACAUCUCCUCCGCCAAGAAAGAUCUGAGUCUGUCAUUUCCAGCAGAGGUCUGCAAACUGACGUGAAGAAAAUCCAGUCAAGGCAAGUGAUUGAGUUUGGUGUCCUUUCUCUGACAGCAGACAGUGAGGUAUUUUCUCUCUACGUUUCUGGCAUGAUGUCAUUAGAAUUCCAUUCCAUUUUCUCAACUGCCACUAUUUGGCAUAAAAACGAUUCCGUUUGUCUUCAUUAUCUUCUUGCCACUACAUGUGCAUGACUGCAUGCAAAUUCAUGCUCAUUUGCAAGUAAAGUCUAGGCACAUGCAUGUGGAAUCUAUACAUGAUUCAAUUUAUCACGUUACUUGGAAAACAAAGAAAAAAAGCAAAGAAAGCUCACAGAAGUAUGCUCGGCCUUGUUGCAGUCUUCAGAACCAACCCCAAACAUCUCCAAAUAAAGCUUUCCAAUGAAAAAGACAUUAGGUGCAAUGAACAGAGCAACAAAUGCAACUGCACAGCACAUGGGGCAGUGACAUUGCUCUUGCACAGGGAGACACUGAUAUUUUGGCAUUUGUUUUCCUCUCAAACUGGAACAAAGUCAAAAUAUUUAAACGUUCCUGGAGGGAAACAUUUCAGUUUAGAAAAGUCUACAUUUCAUCUCAACACGCGGGAUUGACAUCAACAGGAGACUGAUGAAAUGCAUCCCUUUCAUUUAAUGCUACCCAUUGAAUCAAGCCACAUGGAAGAUGUUGCUUUGGGUCUCUCUUUCUGCCAUGAUCUCUGGGGACCCUGUGCUUUGGCAGUGCUCCUUCUCCAACGAUGUGCAGCGUUUUUUGUUUUUCUUUCUUUGUUGCCUCAAAUGGCCUGAGCUCAGACAAUAAGAGUGCGCUGCCAAUACAAUACAGUUCUUUUCUAUGACUUCAUGCUUAUAAUAAUGGGAUGCAGUACUGACUUCUUCCCUAGGUCUGACCAUCUAGACCUUUCUGCUACGAACACCUGCCGUCUCACUGCAGGACCAGAAGGAUUCAGUUGGAAUACAGAUCACUACCACUGCAAUGCCUCAAAGGGUCUUCCUGGGAUCCUCUCCAGACUGGCAGGAGUCCCCCCUAAACCCAGUUUCCAGUCUUCCAGCUCCACAUGGAUUUGCUGUGUGGCACAAAGUAUCUCACAAAUCAGGAAAUGCCUACCUUUUGGAUACUAAAUCCCACUCCUACUGUGCACGGUUAUCAUUUAGGAUAAGAAAACAAGGCCUGUUCUAGACAAGGAGAGACAAAAUUUGAUUUAGAGGUGACAGAAAGCAAUAUUUAACUGCAACUGCACAAAUCUGUUGUGGCCAGUUCCCAUAUUUACCAUGCUUCUACAAAACCAUUUGUCUCUCUAUAGACCCAGAUGGCCAGGGGUUCCGUUUGUCCCAAGGCUUCUGGCAGAGCAAGGCACACAGAUUGUUCUUUCCUUAGCUCCUCUGGAAUUAAUGAACAUUGAUUCAUUUCCAUUUAUUAGGAGAUAAGAUUUAACUUCUUGGCUCAGUAAGGCUUGUUUCCUGUGACACCUGCAGCUUGUUUCAGUUUCUACUUCAGCUCUUCCACCCAUUCUGAUAAACAAAUUAAUCACAUCCUGAAAAAGUGAAAGCAAGUGAUAUUUCACUGCUUAGAUCACUACAUCCAGAUCAGGCCCCAUCUGGGAUUCUGUGAUCUAUAUUUCUGGGACUGGGUCAGCCUGUGGCCAGAUCUGGGCAUCCAGGCUCUUCCAUAGAUCCUUAUAAACACAGCAGAAUGUCAUCUGCAGAACACCCUGACACAACAGAGGUGCUGAAGAAAACUAAGAACACUGAGUAGCUCUCACUUCAGUAAAGCAAAACUGGGAAACGUAACGACUUGCUCAAGUUCUUGGACAAGGAAAAAAAGAUCAUUUCCCCACUGCUGUAAAGAAACAAAACAAGAAAGAAGUCAAUGAAGUGAAAAAUCCUAUGGAGACAGGAUGAGACCGCUAUGGAAAUUUCUCCUGAUACUUCGGUUGAACUGAAUCCUUUUUAAUUAAAUUUCACUGUAAGAUCUAAUCUGGCACUCGAAGGAACAAGUCAGUUGGUACAAUUGGUCACAGAUAAGGUUCCCUGCCUGUGAUCCAGCAUCACUGAAGGAUCAUUGAAUUGUAGUAGAAGUAGAUACAAAAGGGACCUCGAGACGUCGUCUGAUCUCCCCCUGACUUAAAUUAAGAACGACACUACUUCAACUGUCCCUAACACAUUUAUUUAAGUACUUUUUAUUCCGAGCAUCCAAAAUAUUACUUUGCCCCUAGGCAGCAGAGGAUAAAGUUCCACCCACUGAGAAUCUCCCAGCCAGUAUCACACAGAGAAAAGUGGAGAUAAGGGUAAAGAAAGAAUACCCACUAGUCCCCAACGUGCUCAGUCCUAACAAUAAGAGUCUGAUCCCUCAAACACAAUAUAUGACUUUAUUCUUUUCACAGUCCUUCACACUGAGAAAUAGACCAGAAGAAGACAAUGCCAAAGACAUCUCUGUGAGAAAUGUUUCAGUUCAAAGAUCUCAUACUGAAAGAUAGAAAUUCAUUGUCUGUGACUACACCAAUACUGAAGAGCAAGGAUCCUUGAUUUGGAAAAUUUACUACGAAAAGAAAUUUGAUUCAACACUCGCUUCUGCUGAAAUAGCACUAAGAAAUGAGUUUUAAUAGAGAAGAUGGAAAAUGUUCCGAAACUGAAAAUGCCCAAAACCCUUUAAAAAACUAACAAACAAACAACAAAAAAUGUGUUCCAAAGAUUGAUGUAUUUCCUUCCUUCCUCCCUCCUUUCCCUUCUUCCUUCCUUCCCUUCUUCCUUCCCUCCUUCCUUCCUUCCUUCCCUCCUUCCUUCCUUCCUUCCCUGCUUCCUUCCUUCCUUCCUUCCUU